rnacentral:rRNA from 1 species
AUUGAACGCUGGCGGCAGGCUUAACACAUGCAAGUCGAGCGGGGGCUUCGGUCCUAGCGGCGAACGGGUGAGGAAUGCUUGGGAAUCUGCCCAGUAGCGGGGGAUAACGUUUCGAAAGGCACGCCAAUACCGCAUCCGACCUACGGGGGAAAGGGGGGGAUCUUCGGACCUCUCACAAUUGCAUGAGCCCAAGUCGGAUUAGCUAGUUGGUGGGGUAAAGGCCUACCAAGGCGACGAUCCGUAGCUGGUCUGAGAGGAUGAUCAGCCACACUGGAACUGAGACACGGUCCAGACUCCUACGGAAGGCAGCAGUGGGGAAUAUUGGACAAUGGGCGAAAGCCUGAUCCAUCCAUGCCGCGUGUGUGAAGAAGGCCUUCGGGUUGUAAAGCACUUUAAGCGAGGAGGAAUGGCUGAGGGUUAAUAACCUUCAGCAGUGACGUUACUCGCAGAAUAAGCACCGGCUAACUCUGUGCCAGCAGCCGCCGUAACAC